rnacentral:lncRNA from 1 species
GGUAACUGACCCAGUAAUGGACACUGUACCAGUAAUGGACACUAAUUUGAUAAAUUACCAGAAAAUAAGGAAAAUGUCUUAUGUAACCCCCACAUCGGGCUAGCUAAAUGUUCUCUGCAGUAUUGGCCAUCAUAUUUUCAAUGAUUAAAUAGCUAACUUCACUCAUCUGUCAAAAGUCAGAUUAAAAAUCAAAUGAAGUUUGUGUGAGUCAGCUGAUGUAAAGUGUUUAUUUAAGCAAAUGCCGAAAACUAAAAAAAUUGGCACUCGCCAGUUUUUUUCAUAUAGCGAAGACGACUU